rnacentral:tRNA from 1 species
GCUCUGGUGGCUCAGGGGUAGAGCGUUGCCUUGGUAAGGCAGAGGCCGCGCGUUCGAUUCGCGUCCAGGGCU